AUGAUUUUGCAGUAAUGAAUGAUAGGGAUGAUAAGAGGGUUUACAAAUAAUGGAUUGUUUGAAAAAGCUAUGGAGUUUUAUCGUAGAAUGGAAAUUCAAGGGUUUAGAGCUGAUAAUUUUACAUACUUGUUUGUGAUUAAAGCGUGCAGCAGUUACUGAUCUCUGGGCCUGAAUAUAUAUUCUGAGAUUCCUUGAAUUAUAUUCAGUAUAACAUAUACUGUAAAUUUUUUGUUGGAAUUUUUAACUUCACUUCCAUGCCGCAUGAUUUCUUAACAUAAAAUUAUAAGCAGGGGCUCAGUGUAAGCACAGCAGUAUUUGAUGGAGUGAAGCAUCUGAUUGCAUUUGGUGGCUACAACGGGAAAUAUAAUAAUGAGGAUACUCAUCUUCUACUGACUGGGGGACUGGAGAAAAUUUUUCAUAUUCUUGAUUUAAAUCGUCCAGAUGCACCCCCAAGAGAAGUGGAUAGAUCUCCUGGUUCAGUCAGAACUAUUGCAUGGCUCCAUAGUGAUCGAAUAAUGUUAAGCUCUUGCUCUGACAUGGGCGGUGUCAGGUAUGCCUGUUUCUCCUGCAUCAUAUGUUAUGGGAUGUUGGAAGUGGUAAGAUAGUCCAAACACUCGAGCCCAAGUCAUCUGUGACCAGUGCUGAAGUGAUUCAAGAUGGUCGUUAUAUCACAACUGCUGAUGGGUCAAUACUUAAGUUAUGGGAUGCAAACCAGUAAGUUUUAUGCCUUGGCCAAGUCUGAAUCUUGAACUCUAAUGAAAUGGGAACUAUCUUUCUGAGCAAGAUGUUACAGUUGAUAUUGAGACAAUCAAAGAAGAGAAAAGAGUUUCGGAAUUGUCUCUAGCAGAAGCCAGAGAAAAAUUCUAGGCUCAGAGAAAAGGUCGAUGAAGUUAACAGUACUCAUGGUGAAUUGUCCAAGGAACUCCAAUCUGUCCAAGGUCAACUGGUAACCGAGAGAUCAAGAAUCUUCAAAUUGGAGCCAAAGUGGAAUGAUGCACUUCUUGAGAUGUUUAGAAUCAAUUACAUCGGUACUUCUCCAUCGAUCACCUGUUUGCCUUCGCUCUAUCAUCAUCAAGUCAGCCCAAUGGACAAGUUCUUGAUAUUGUCUUCAGAUGGACUCUAUCAAUACUUCACCUACGAAGAAGCUGUAUCCGAAGUUGAGUUAUUCAUUGCUGCAUUUCCCAAAGGAGAUCCUGCACAACAUCUCAUAAAGCUGCUAUUGACUUCCAUGAGUUGCUUGAUAUCCCACAAGUAAGAAUGGUCUCAUUCUGAAUGAGCAAUAUCUGAUAUUUUGGCAGAAAGAUGUGGUUUGUUCUGAACCAUGAAAAGGUUAGAAAUGUGUUGAUGACACAAAAUAGUUAGACCAAAGUGCUAGAAAUGAUUAUAGUAGCAAUUUUUGCUAUGGUGGUUUUGGCUUCUUAUUAUGUUGCUGGUUACUGUGAAGUUUUAUAACAUGCAUCUGCAGCAAGUUCAUGUAACACUUACACCAAAACCUUCUCUGGGGUUGAUGGAGCUGGAAAGCGAUUAGCAAAUGGAGGUUAGCAUCUGAGAACAAACAGUUGUGGCAGCCUGAGAGUUGGCUAUAAAUGAAUUGAGCUGAUGGAGUCUAUGCUUCCUUCUUUCACUUACAUAUAUAUAUAUAUAUAAUUUCUUGAUGGGUAGUCGGUAUACAAGUUAUUGAAAUUCUGAUCUCUUGUUGAUGCUCACUUAGUUUGUUAAAUAUACAGUAACAACAACAUUUAUUCAAGUCUGUCGUAAUAAAUUUUGUAACCCAUUGGUUUAUAUGUAAUUUGCUUUCUCUGAUCAAUGAUAUUGCGCUAGAAUGGAUGCUGGAGCUGUUGUUUCUUACUCAA